rnacentral:lncRNA from 1 species
AUGUCUUCCAAAAAAGCAUGUCUUCCAGAGGAUCCAUGUCUUCCAAUUGACCUCCAGGUCUUCCAGCCUAUCCACAUCUUCCAGAAAAUCCUUGUCUUCCAUAAAAUCCAUAGCUUCCGGAAUAUCCAUGUCUUCCAGCUAAUCCAUAUCUUCCAGGAAAUCCAUGUCUUCCAGGAAAUCCCCGUCUUCCAGGAAAUCUGCGUCUUCCAGGAAAUACGCGUCUUCCAGGAAAUCCAUGUCUUCCAGCUAAUCCACGUCUUCCAGGAAAUCCACGGCUUCCAGCUAAUCCAAGUCUUCCAGGAAAUCCACGUCUUCCAGGAAAUCCCUGUCUUCCCGGAAAUCCACGUCUUCCAGGAAAUCCACGUCUUCCAACCAAUCCACGUCUUCCAGCCAAUCCACGUCUUCCAGCCAAUCCACGUCUUCCAGCCAACCUAUGUCUUCCAGCCAAUCCAUGUCUUCCAGCCAAUCCACGUCUUCCAGCCAACCUACGUCUUCCAACAAAGCUACGUCUUCCAGGAAAUCCACGUCUUCCAACAAAGCCAUGUCUUCCAUGAAUCUAUGUCUUCCAACAAAUCCAUGUCUUCCUUCACCUCCAGGUCUUCCAGCAUCUCCAGGGCUUCCAGCAUCUCCUCAUCUUCCAGCAUCUUCAUGUCUUCCAACAUCCUCAGGUCUUCCUACAGCUACCCAGUCUUCCAUCAGCGGGCUGAAUAUCUGCGUCUUCCAAUGUCUCCAGUGCCGGUCUUCUCACAUCCAGGUCUUCCACCGUCUGCAAUAUCCAGUGUUUCAAAGACGCAGAAUCAACACUCCUGAGGGGCAAAGAUUUCUGAAAACCUUUCUGAUGGAAGCUAUGGUUCACAUUGAUCAAAGCCCCCUCCUGAUCUGUUACCUUCUUUGAAAAGCUUAAAAGCACAUUGUUCCUCCCAUGAGUGUACUCCCUGGAGAAAUUCUUGCACAUCUGCACAGAAGGUAUGAACCAGAAUGUUCCUUUUAU